UUUUUUUGUUCUGUGUCAUGCCCCAGUUUAGCAGAAUUUAAGGGGGGUGUAUGUAACAUAGUUAAAUAGGUUCAGGUUAAAUCCUGCUAAAUGGGGAAAACAAUGCCACCUGCUGGUGUAAAAUGUAUCUGCAUCCCUUAGCAUAAUAGUGACAGCAAGGAACGAUGGGUAAUCCUCAAAGUAACGGAGGAUUCCCACGAGAGUGAGCAUGUCCUGUUGUCCGCGCGAGGUGACAUUCCUCCCUGUUUGUUACUGAUGCAGGUAUGUUACUGUAUGAAGUUUGUUUUAAGAUAAAAUGUUCCUGUGGUUAUUUAUUCGACUUGUAUUUUGAAGUUGAUAAAUGUUUUAACAUGAAAAAUGCUGGG